rnacentral:rRNA from 1 species
UACGGAGGAGGCAAGCGUUAUCCGGAAUUAUUGGGCGUAAAGCGUCCGCAGGUGGCACCUCAAGUCUGCUGUCAAAGACCGGGGCUUAACCCCAGAAAGGCAGUGGAAACUGAAGUGCUAGAGUGCAGUAGGGGUAGAGGGAAUUCCCGGUGUAGCGGUGAAAUGCGUAGAGAUCGUGAGGAAGACCCGUGGCGAAGGCGGAUCUCUGGAUGGCUAACUGACGCUGAGGCGCGAAGGCCAGGGGAGCAAACGGG